rnacentral:rRNA from 1 species
UAGGGAAUAUUGCGCAAUGGGCGAAAGCCUGACGCAGCGACGCCGCGUGAGGGAUGAAGGUUUUCGGAUCGUAAACCUCUGUCAGAAGGGAAGAAACCGCACUGUGCUAAUCAGCAGUGCCUUGACGGUACCUUCAAAGGAAGCACCGGCUAACUCCGUGCCAGCAGCCGCGGUAAUACGGAGGGUGCAAGCGUUAAUCGGAAUUACUGGGCGUAAAGCGCACGUAGGCUGCUUUGUAAGUCAGGGGUGAAAUCCCACGGCUCAACCGUGGAACUGCCUUUGAUACUGCUUAGCUUGAAUCCGGGAGAGGGUGGCGGAAUUCCAGGUGUAGGAGUGAAAUCCGUAGAUAUCUGGAGGAACAUCAGUGGCGAAGGCGGCCACCUGGACCGGUAUUGACGCUGAGGUGCGAAAGCGUGGGGAGCAAACAGG